rnacentral:sRNA from 1 species
AGAGCGGGUACCGCUGCUGGCUAGCGACAGACGAGCAACCGUCUGAGGCCAGGAGCGCUGCGGCGGAGCCUUGACCGCCGUUGCCCGGCCUUCUCCCGCGCAGCCCCGGGCUUCCGCAGGUUAUGGCCAUUGCACCAACCCAUUAUAUCUGGCAAAGAGAACGUUCUGUUCAUCACAGUGGAGCUGUCAGAAACUACAACAGAGAUGAAGUUCAGCUGCCCCGGGGACCUAGUGCCACACCAGUAGAUUGUUCACUCUGUGGUAAAAAAAGAAGAUAUGUUAGACUGGGAUUGUCUUCAUCAUCAUCUUUAUCCAGUCAUACAGCAGGGGUGACAGAAAAACAUUCUCAGGACUCAUACAACUCACUGUCAAUGGACAUAAUAGGUGAUCCUUCUCAAGCUUAUACCGGUUCUGAAGUAGUCAAUGACCAUCAAUCAAAUAAAGGAAAGAAAACUAAUUUCUUGAAGAAAGACAAAUCUAUGGAGUGGUUUACAGGAAGUGAAGAAUGAGAUGGCCCAACUAAACCAAUUUGGAAUCAUUAACUACAAAAUGUCAAACUAACUGCAAGACAAGUGUCAAAAUGGGAUGUUUAAGCAGUUUUGCUAUGUUAUACAUCUUUUAGUUGUUAUUUUCAAAAUUAUAUGUAUAAGUUAUAUAAGUCAUAGUAAUAGCUAAAAAUGCCAAUCUAUGGAAGUAGUAAUUUUCAAUAUAAAGUUCUAUUUUGAUAUUUUUCCAUCUUCAAGUCAGUUACUGUCAUCUGGAGUACUCAGUUAAGUUGUGGUUUGACCUUCCUCAACUUGACAAGAAAAGCUAAUUUAAGAGAAGAAAAACAUAAAGUCAUUAUAUUAAUUAAAAGAAAAAACACCAUUUAAUAUGUUCUGAAAACAUUACUCACCUG